CCUUGUGUUUCAGUUUUAACUAUUAACCAAUAGUGGAAAAACAAGGAUGCCUAAGUUAUGCCUUCAGAGCCAAUAGGGUGGAUUUGUGUGCCUCACAUGACAGCAUUUCCCUUGUCUUUCACAUGGGCCGUAUUUAGUUCAAUUCAGAACUGCAGAUAGUACAGCUUGCACAGCAGCAAUGGGAUGUCUGAGCACAAGUGGCUGAAUUCCGAGUGACUUAAUGAAGCACUUUUAUACUUUCCUUCUGCAUUAAAUUGGGAUCUGCAUCCUUGACAUUCACUCACCACACUCAUCUCUACUGAAGGAAACAGUGACUAGCACAGCCUUGCAGUAUGAAACUGCCCUAUGCUCAAAUACCACAAAGGAGGGCAUAAGAAGCAGCACUGAACAGAAUAUGAAGGCAAAAUUCCAGUUGACUUCCAUGUUUAUCUGCAUCAGAGGAAUCGGAGCAGAAUUGCAGACCAACAAAUGAAGUGAGCUGAAGGCAAUUUGACCAAAUGUUUUCUGUGUGAAUUCCACAGAGGCUGAUGAAGCAUGUUAUCAGGUCUCCAAGGUACAGCACAGACAUUAGUCUGUUGUGCCAUAAAAUUAAGGAAUUAUUAGAGUAAGCUAUUUUCUUGACCUAGAUGAAAAUAACAGGAAUACAGAGAAGUCUUGUACUCUGCACUGAAGUGUAUCUUUCCUAACUGACGCUUACUAACAUGUUAUUAAACAUAUGCCAGCUCUGCCAAAUAAUCAGGAAAUGCAGGCACCCGAGCACAAGGGCAGAGACUGGCUUUUAAGAAGCUCCACCUGUCUCAUGCAGAGUGCAACAUAGUGUUUGAAUGAUAGACAAAAAGGACCAAGAUGAAAGUGAUUUCAAAGCAAUCCUGUAAGCCUUUUUGCAGGAAUCAAAAUAAUAUAGAGACUGAAAUAAAUGGACAAGAGUUUGAAAUAGGCUAUAAAAUAUCAUGGCAAAUUUUAAAUUUAUUUUGUAGAAAAGGAUCAAGUAAAUGAUGCCUCCUAAUAAGGCACAUGACAAUCUCAAUUAUGAGAAUCAUUAUUCUAGGCACUGUGUGCUGUUUUAUAUUCCCAGCAGGAUGUUUUUCAUCUCAUCAAGAGUUUCCAAGGCUGUCUAGUGUUUCUGUAUAUGCAAAACAUAUUUGAGCUUCACUCCCUCCCCACGUCCCCAGCCCAAAGCUUCACUAAUUAAAAAAGCCCUGUCAAGUGGGUAGACAUACUGGAAUUAGAGGAUUAUAGGUAAGAGGAAUGAAAUGAAGGGUUGAAAGCUAUAAUUUCUCUUUCUGUGGUAGCAGCAGAAGUAGCUGUUAUAGACAGGCAAGUUAAAAAAAGUGUCUGCCUUGGCUAGCAAGCUUUGUAAUAUCUUGUUCCCCAACAGAAAGUCAUCCGAACCUCACUUGUAAGAUGCAAUAACUGCUGGGUUGUCUCUUUCUCCCUCUUCCCAUUUCUCUCAUCUCAUGAAAGCACUACACCCUCCGGCUGAUUUCCUUCCGGUCCUUGCUUACUGAUUCCACUCCUUCCAUUCCCUCACCAUUUUUGUCCUGCUGCGUUAACAGUAAUUCCUAGGCCUUUGACUAGUGUUCCAUGCUGGGAGCUGCUAGCAAACAAAGAGAACACUUUUAAAAAGGAGAGAAAUUGAAAUGAAGAGGGGAGAAACAACCAUGGUUCUAUCCAUUUUUGUAUACACAGUUACGAUUGUGUAUAAAUAAUCUCUCACAUUGAACAAUGUUAACUUUUUUUCUCCCAUCGCAAAAUUGGUUGACCGGACAGAUAACCACGAUAGUGAAAAUUCCCUCUCAAAAGUUCUUUAGGAAAAAGACAAAAUUACUAAUGUGCAUGUAAGAAAUAUGGUAAAGUAAUUAUCUAUUUGUAGCUGAAUGUUUUCCGACAGAAUGGGGGCUUCCUGUCUCCCCAAUCCAUUUUCCAGUCUAUUUACUCUGAAUCUCACAGAAAAAGUUGCUGUAUUAUCUUUAAAACUACUUGUCACGUGAUGGUGUGUGUGUUAUUCUCUAGUACUGCAAUUGCUUGAAGCUCUGUGGGAUACUGCACCCAAAGAAAGGUGAACCACUGGAAAAAAACAAAAAACAAAAAACAAAAAAAAAACAAACCACACAUACAUAUGUGAAAGGCUCAGACUUUGGCCCAGAUUCUUAGUUCUGCACCAGCUGCAGAUUCCCCCAGAACAUGGGAAAUCGUGGCUACCCAUUUAGGACAGUUUUCAGGCUCCUUGCACAGCAGAGCCAGGAUUUGUCCCCUUUUGUGCCUGCGUGUUUAGAUUGUGACAUCAUCCCAUCUGUCUAGUCAAUUUAUGUGUGGGGGUCUGCAGUCAAAACAAAUUUAUCACCUCAGAUUUGCUAUUGGUGUGUUGCCUAGGAGCUGGGAUUUCAAACAUUGCUGUAGCUUUUGAUUCUGUUGUUGUCAUCAACGAUAGUGCUGCCUUAUAUGGUGUCUUUCAUCGCAGGGUCGCAAAAGCAUCAUUAUGAACAUUAAGGAAAUCAAUCUUAUAGAGGAGCUGUGAGGCAAGUAGUGUAUCCAUUUUAUGGAUGAAAAACGGAGUCACAGAGGUUAAGUGAUCUGUCCUGGGUCAUACAGUGAAUUAGUGACAGCAAAGCUAGCACUUCAGGUCCGACUGAACAUUCGUAUGUGCCCUCCUCCUUCACUGCUAACAUCAAUUUGUUGUCCACUCUUCUGCAUAGGGCCAAACUAAGAGCAUGGGAGAUUAGCAAAGUGAUCCUGUAGGCUACACCCCAAAGCUAGUCAAGUCUCAUUUUACAGAGAAAAUACAGGUUUGGCAAAGGUCUUUAGGUUCUUCCCACAGAUCCUGCUUCAUAAACUGGACCUGGCUGUGUGUUCCUUUCAAGUCUAGUGAUUAGCUGACAUUUAGCAUCGGUUUAAUAAUUUCCAACCUAUCUUCAUAAGAAAGAGGGCAAGGAAUUUAAGAAGGGAAAUUGUAUUUUUGCAUUUCUACUUCCAUCACAUUACAGGGGUCCAGGACCUUGUAGUGGGUAGUAAGUGGGGGCAGGAAGAGGAAAAGGAUGGCUCCCAAGAGCCAGAGCAAGGAACUGGACCCAGGAGUCAUGGCUUCCACACCAGUGUUCUGUUCACUAAACACUUAACUGCAGCUUUUGACUAGCAGUGCUGAUUUUUG